rnacentral:rRNA from 1 species
CUACGGGGUGCUCCAGUGGGGAAUAUUGGACAAUGGGGGCAACCCUGAUCCAGCCAUGCCGCGUGUGUGAAGAAGGCCUUAGGGUUGUAAAGCACUUUCAGAUGUGAGGAAAGGUGUGUGCUUAAUACGUACAUACUGUGACGUUAGCAUCAGAAGAAGGACCGGCCAACUCCGUGCCAGCAGCCGCGGUAAUACGGAGGGUCCGAGCGUUAAUCGGAAUUACUGGGCGUAAAGCGCGCGUAGGUGGUUUCGUCAGUCAGAUGUGAAAGCCCCGGGCUCAACCUGGGAAUUGCACCGAUACUGCGGAACUAGAGUACGAUAGAGGGGAGUGGAAUUUCCGGUGUAGCGGUGAAAUGCGUAGAGAUCGGAAGGAACACCAGUGGCGAAGGCGACUCCCUGGAUUGAUACUGACACUGAGGUGCGAAAGCGUGGGGAGCAAACAGGAUUAGAUACCCUAGUAGUC